UCUCCGCUGGUGAACCAGCGGAGGGAUCAUUACCGGAAUCGCAACACCCCACAACCCAUGUGAACCUACCGAAACGGUUCCCCCGCCGGGGCAUUCAUUCCCCGGGCGCGUCGCAGCCCCCGACCACGGCCCCCGCCGGAGUACCAACCAAAACUCUUUUGUAUGUCCCAAACAAACUUAUAUAAUUCUGAACCAUCUCGUCGCCCCUAGCGGGCGUUUCGAACACGAAACAAAACUUUCAACCACGGAUCUCUUGGUUCUGGCUUCGAUGAAGAACUC
rnacentral:misc_RNA from 1 species